rnacentral:rRNA from 1 species
AGUUAAAAUGCUUUGUAAUUGGAAUGAUAGAAAUUUAAACCCUUUUUAAAGUAUCAAUUGGAGGGCAAGUCUGGUGCCAGCAGCCGCGGUAAUUCCAGCUCCAAUAGCGUAUAUUAAAAUUGUUGCAGUUAAAAAGCUCGUAGUUGAAGUUCUGCUGAAAGUAACCGGUCUGCUUUUAAUAAAAGUGGUAUCUUGGUAUGUAUUUAGCAAUGAUGUCCUUUGAAGUGUUUUUUACUUUAUUGUAAUAAAGCAUAUUCAGGACUUUUACUUUGAGAAAAUUAGAGUGUUUCUAGCAGGCUGACGCUUUGAAUACUGCAGCAUGGAAUAAUAAGAUAGGAUUUUAGUUCUACAUUAUUGGUUUUAAGAGCUAAAUUAAUGAUUGAUAGGGACAGUUGGGGGCAUUUGUAUUUA